GCUUCGUCUAUCUCUAGACCCCAGCGUCGAAGGGUCUUCAGCACACGGGCGCCUGAACUGGCUGCACUCCUAGCUGUAACCAGCCAUCAUCCAUGGAAAGUCAAGAUUAGCCUCCUGGAUGGAUUUGUGAGAAGUAGAGCCUCUCCUCCAAACCAGAGAAGCCACUGUGUACCAGCUUGUCCUAUUAGCAUACCACGUGCCCAGGAGUAAACAGGCAAUGGUGGGACCACAGACAGAUUAACCCAUCACCUAAGGGAAAGAAGCCUGAGAGAGCAAUGAUGAAUGAAAAUAUUAAUCAUCACAUAUCUUCCAUUGAAUAUAUCAUCAUCAUGGUGGGAACACAGGUCCCGUGACUUGAGACACCUAUGUGCCUCUGAGAGGGUGAAUGGAAGCUGGGCUUUCUCCACGGGGUUCUAAAGAGUUUGGACACAUAGAUUCAGAGGCAUCUUUGGAUGAUCAUACAGGGCUCUUAAACAUCUCCCUGUGGAAGAGAGCAGUCCAUGCUGCCAACUCCCAGAUUCUCAUCCUGGGAGAUUGGGAGAAUACCCUGUGUCAUUUCCUGUCCCCUGAGUGCUGCCAAUACACAUGCAGGCGCAUCAUCAAUAUUUGAGGUGAAUCCUGCCAAUAUGCAAUCUAAACUUCUUCUGAAUCAAUUUGGCCACUAAGGAUUUUAGAGAAUACCAGGUCCUAUGCCAGACAUUGGGAAUAACAAGAUUAAAGAAGCACAGUUCCUGCCUUUGAAGAACUUAGUAGCAAUGGCGAUGAGGAUGCUCAGGAAUUGUGCAACAGUACAAGUGAUGCGUGAGCACUGAAGAGAGAGCAGAGAAUGUCCCUAACAGUAAUGGUGCAUGAACUGAAUUUCAAAACAGUAAAGAGAAUGGGGCAUCAGUGUUCUGGCCACAAAUGAAAAAGAUCAGAGGUCUGAGAGAGCUUGCUCUGUUGGAGGAACUACAUGUCAUGUAUUAUUACUGGAGCAUGAAUUCCGUGGAAGAGCAUUGGGAAAGGUCUUGGAUAUCAGGAGAGAGCAUUUGGAUAUCUUUCUGGAAGAGACGGUGAGUCAGAGAUCUACUUUCCAUCUAAUCUGCCAGUAUUUCCCAACUUCUUUUUUCUAAUACCCUAUGAAUUUUUUGCAUUUUACUUAAAAGUAAUAUUGUUUGAGUUCCCCAGCAGCAGAGAGUAAUGAACAAUGAUCAGAACAGUUAGGUUAGAAGAACUUAAAACUAGUUCCCAAGUGUCAGGACACAUUCUUUACUGCUGCUGUGUCCCAUGUGGGGUAUGAGAAGCACCUUCUGUUAUAUUUAUCUCCUUUGGUCCUCUCAGUAGAUUUAUAGAGUGAAGUGGAAUUUCAUUCAUUUGCUAGAAAAGAAAACAGAGACCCUGGGAGAUAAACUGAUGUUUGCCAAGCCAUGCAGAGAGCCAGCAGUGGUUUAUUUCCAGAGCCCAGGCCUCCUGGUCCCAGUGAAAUGUUUCUGCCAUGAGUCACAUGUGGACUUUCUGCUCUGCUG